GCGGGUGUAGUUCAAUGGUAGAACUUCAGCCUUCCAAGCUGACUAUGGGGGUUCGAUUCCCCCCACCCGCUCCA
rnacentral:tRNA from 1 species